CCUACGGGAGGCAGCAGUGAGGAAUAUUGGUCAAUGGACGAGAGUCUGAACCAGCCAAGUAGCGUGAAGGAUGACUGCCCUCUGGGUUGUAAACUUCUUUUAUAUGGGAAUAAAAUGUUCCACGUGUGUGAUUUUGUCUGUACCAUAUGAAUAAGGAUAUGCUAACUCCGUGCCAGCAGCCGCGGUAAUACGGAGGAUCCGAUCGUUAUACGGUUUUAUUGGGUUGAAAGGGAGCGUAGGUGGAUUGUUAAGUCAGUGGUGAAAGUUUGAGGCUAAACCGUAAAAUUGCAGUUGAAACUGGCAGUCUUGAGUACAGUAGAGGUGGGCGGAAUUCGUGGUGUAGCGGUGAAAUGCUUAGAUAUCACGAAGAACUCCGAUUGCGAAGGCAGUUCACUGGACUGCAACUGACACUGAGGCUCGAAAGUGUGGGUAUCAAACAGGAUUAGAUACCCUUGUAGUC
rnacentral:rRNA from 1 species